AAGAACUUGAUUAAAGCCUAUGGUUGAUGGGCUUUAGGUUUUUGAGCUCCUUCACUUUGUAGCUUACUUCCCAAUGUUAUCGGUCAUGCUGAGUGUGUCAGUAUUUUAAAAUCUAAGCUCAAGACAUAUCUCUUUAAUUUGACCAUUUACUAGCUAGCAGUUUGGAGUUUAUUUAUUUAUUUAUUUAUUUAUGGUAUGGUACUAGUCAUUUGACUCAAUUCACUGACAUUGACCGCAUAACCUAAAACUAACCAAGUAAAUGUAAUGUAAAUGUAAAUGAAUGUAAAUCAAUAUCAAUGUAAAUCCAGUUUUUAUUUUUUUUAUUGGUCCGAGACAAACUAGACAGACUUUUUUUUUAUCUGACCUCGGCUUGGCAUGCUUAACUCUCACUUGUUCUUCAUCAGUAGAGUAGAACCUUCAUCUGCGGGCACUAUGGCACAAUUACAGACGUCAGAACAUUCAUCCACCAAUCAGGAAGUGCCAUUAGAGGUCUAGGUCAUAUUGCAGACAGGAAAUGCAGCUGACUUCCUGUUUCCUCCCACCGCCGAGCUGACCCGUCUAUGGGGAAGUGCAUCACCAACCUUACACAGAGCCCUUUCUGGUUGGGAGGGGGAUUUACAGCUCCGAUUCUUUCUCUUUCGGCCUUGGAGAUCGAUCUGUUCUGUCUCACCUUUGCGAAGAUGCUCUCAUGCAGCCCUCAAUCAUGCCUCAAUCAUGCCCAGUGAAUACUAGCAUUGUUGUGCAGUACAGGCCAGGUGAGCCUAGGGGCAGAGAUUUGCUGGGAUGGUCUUUGUCCUCCAGAGGCCAGUAACCUGCAGACAUCCUCUUCGAGUUCCUGGGUGUAAAAAGACGCAGAUUGGCUUGAGGGAUCGGAGGACGCCCACUGAGCCUCGGGUCCCGGAGCUGUGUGGGGAAAAUAGAUAAACAAGAACAAGGAAUAGAGCAUUGCAGAGCCUUAGAGUUCCUGUGUAAUUUGUAUUGUACAGUGUAUUAAACUGUAAAUGU